rnacentral:rRNA from 1 species
UACGGGGGGGGGCAAGCGUUGUUCGGAAUUACUGGGCGUAAAGGCUCGUAGGCGGCCAACUAAGUCAGACGUGAAAUCCCCUCGGCUUAACCGGGGGAACUGCAUCUGAUACUGGAUGGCUCGAGUUUGGGAGAGGGAUGCGGAAUUCCAGGUGUAGCGGUGAAAAUGCGUAGAUAUCUGGAGGAACACCGGUGGCGAAGGCGGCAUCCUGGACCAACACUGACGCUGAGGAGCGAAAAGCCAGGGGGAGCAAACGGG